rnacentral:rRNA from 1 species
GAUGAACGCUGGCGGCGUGCCUAAUACAUGCAAGUCGAGCGAAUGGAUUAAGAGCUUGCUCUUAUGAAGUUAGCGGCGGACGGGUGAGUAACACGUGGGUAACCUGCCCAUAAGACUGGGAUAACUCCGGGAAACCGGGGCUAAUACCGGAUAAUAUUUUGAACUGCAUGGUUCAAAAUUGAAAGGCGGCUUCGGCUGUCACUUAUGGAUGGACCCGCGUCGCAUUAGCUAGUUGGUGAGGUAACGGCUCACCAAGGCAACGAUGCGUAGCCGACCUGAGAGGGUGAGCGGCCACACUGGGACUGAGACACGGCCCAGACUCCUACGGGAGGCAGCAGUAGGGCAUCUUCCGCAAUGGACGAAAGUCUGAUGGAGCAACGCCGCGUGAGUGAUGAAGGCUUUCGGGUCGUAAAACUCUGUUGUUAGGGAAGAACAAGUGCUAGUUGAAUAAGCUGGCACCUUGACGGUACCUAACCAGAAAGCCACGGCUAACUACGUGCCAGCCGCCGCGGUAA